CGCGGGAGCAAUCCUGGCGGCGAGUGGCGAACGGGUGAGUAAUACAUCGGAACGUGCCCAAUCGUGGGGGAUAACGCAGCGAAAGCUGUGCUAAUACCGCAUAAGAUCUACGGAUGAAAGCAGGGGAUCGCAAGACCUUGCGCGAAUGGAGCGGCCGAUGGCAGAUUAGGUAGUUGGUGAGGUAAAGGCUCACCAAGCCUUCGAUCUGUAGCUGGUCUGAGAGGACGACCAGCCACACUGGGACUGAGACACGGCCCAGACUCCUACGGGAGGCAGCAGUGGGGAAUUUUGGACAAUGGGCGAAAGCCUGAUCCAGCCAUGCCGCGUGCAGGAUGAAGGCCUUCGGGUUGUAAACUGCUUUUGUACGGAACGAAACGGCCUUUUCUAAUAAAGAGGGCUAAUGACGGUACCGUAAGAAUAAGCACCGGCUAACUACGUGCCAGCAGCCGCGGUAAUACGUAGGGUGCAAGCGUUAAUCGGAAUUACUGGGCGUAAAGCGUGCGCAGGCGGUUAUGUAAGACAGUUGUGAAAUCCCCGGGCUCAACCUGGGAACUGCAUCUGUGACUGCAUAGCUAGAGUACGGUAGAGGGGGAUGGAAUUCCGCGUGUAGCAGUGAAAUGCGUAGAUAUGCGGAGGAACACCGAUGGCGAAGGCAAUCCCCUGGACCUGUACUGACGCUCAUGCACGAAAGCGU
rnacentral:rRNA from 1 species